rnacentral:rRNA from 1 species
GCCUAAAGCGUCCGUAGCCGGCUUUGUAAGUUUUCGGUUAAAUCUAUAUGCUCAACAUAUAGGCUGCCGGGAAUACUGCAAAGCUAGGGAGUGGGAGAGGUAGACGGUACUCCGUAGGAAGGGGUAAAAUCCUUUGAUCUAUGGAUGACCACCUGUGGCGAAGGCGGUCUACCAGAACACGUUCGACGGUGAGGGAUGAAAGCUGGGGGAGCAAACCGGAUUAGAUACCCGGGUAGUCCCAGCUGUAAACGAUGCAGACUCGGUGAUGCAUUGGCUUGUGGCCAGUGCAGUGCCGCAGGGAAGCCGUUAAGUUUGCCGCCUGGGAAGUACGUACGCAAGUAUGAAACUUAAAGGAAUUGGCGGGGGAGCACCACAAGGGGUGAAGCCUGCGGUUCAAUUGGAGUCAACGCCAGAAAUCUUACCCGGAGAGACAGCAGAAUGAAGGUCAAGCUGAAGACUUUACCAGACAAGCUGAGAGGUGGUGCAUGGCCGUCGCCAGCUCGUGCCGUGAGAUGUCCUGUUAAGUCAGGUAACGAGCGAGACCCUUGCCUCUAGUUGCCACCAUUGCUCUCUGGAGCAGUGGGGCGAAUUAGCGGGACCGCCGCAGUUAAUGCGGAGGAAGGAAAGGGCUACGGCAGGUCAGUAUGCCCCGAA